GUGGGGAAUAUUGGACAAUGGGCGAAAGCCUGAUCCAGCCAUGCCGCGUGUGUGAAGAAGGUCUUCGGAUUGUAAAGCACUUUAAGUUGGGAGGAAGGGCAGUAAGUUAAUACCUUGCUGUUUUGACGUUACCAACAGAAUAAGCACCGGCUAACUUCGUGCCAGCAGACGCGGUAAUACGAAGGGUGCAAGCGUUAAUCGGCAUUAAUGGGUGUAAAGCGCGCGUAGGUGGUUCAGCAAGUUGGAGGUGAAAUCCCCGGGCUCAACCUAGGAACGGCCUCCAAAACUACUGAACUAUAGUACGGUAGAGGGUAGUGGAAUUUCCUGUGUAGCGGUGAAAUGCGUAGAUAUAGGAAGGAACACCAGUGGCGAAGGCGACUACCUGGACUGAUACUGACACUGAGGUGCGAAAGCGUGGGGAGCAAACAGGAUUAGAAACCCCAGUAGUCC
rnacentral:rRNA from 1 species